rnacentral:rRNA from 1 species
CCCUUAGAUGUUCUGGGCCGCACGCGCGCUACACUGAUGAACGCAACGAGACCACCUGUACCGAAAGGCAUGGGUAAACUUGUGAAAGUUCAUCGUGAUGGGGAUAGAUUAUUGCAAUUAUCAAUCUUCAACGAGGAAUUCCUAGUAAGCGCGAGUCAUCAGCUCGCGUUGAUUACGUCCCUGCCCUUUGUACACACCGCCCGUCGCUCCUACCGAUUGAAUGGUCCGGUGAAAUCUUCGGAUUGCUGGAUAGGACUUCAUUGACCUAUCUGCGAGAAGUUGCUUGAACCUUAUCAUUUAGAGGAAGGAGAAGUCGUAACA